rnacentral:rRNA from 1 species
CCCGGCGACCGGCGCACGGGUGAGUAACACGUAUGAAACCUGCCCGUAGCAGGGGGAUAAGCGGAAGAAAUUCCGUCUAAUACCGCGUAACAACCAUGGAGGCAUCUCUGUGGGUUUAAAGGAAGCGAUUCCGGCUACGGAUGGUCAUGCGUCGCAUUAGCUUGUUGGCGGGGUAACGGCCCACCAAGGCGACGAUGCGUAGGGGUUCUGAGAGGAAGGUCCCCCACACUGGUACUGAGACACGGACCAGACUCCUACGGAAGGCAGCAG